GACGAACGCUGGCGGCGUGCUUAACACAUGCAAGUCGAACGGAAAGGCCCCUUUGGGGGUACUCGAGUGGCGAACGGGUGAGUAACACGUGAGUAACCUGCCCUUGACUUCGGGAUAACUUAAGGAAACUGGGGCUAAUACCGGAUAGGAAUCCUUGCUGCAUGGUGGGGGUUGGAAAGCUUCGGCGGUUUUGGAUGGACUCGCGGCUUAUCAGCUUGUUGGUGGGGUAGUGGCUUACCAAGGCUUUGACGGGUAGCCGGCCUGAGAGGGCGACCGGCCACAUUGGGACUGAGAUACGGCCCAGACUCCUACGGGAGGCAGCAGUGGGGAAUAUUGCACAAUGGGCGGAAGCCUGAUGCAGCAACGCCGCGUGCGGGAUGACGGCCUUCGGGUUGGAAACCGCUUUCAGCAGGGGCGAAGCUUGUGGUGACGGUACCUGCAGAAGAAGCACCGGCUAACUACGUG
rnacentral:rRNA from 1 species